UACGUAGGGUGCGAGCGUUAAUCGGAAUUACUGGGCGUAAAGCGUGCGCAGGCGGUUUGUUAAGUCUGAUGUGAAAGCCCCGGGCUCAACCUGGGAACUGCAUUGGAAACUGGCAAGCUCGAGUUUGGCAGAGGGGGGUGGAGUUCCGCGUGUAGCAGUGAAAUGCGUAGAGAUGCGGAGGAACACCGGUGGCGAAGGCAGCCCCCUGGGCUAAGACUGACGCUCAGGCACGAAAGCGUGGGGAGCAAACAGG
rnacentral:rRNA from 1 species